rnacentral:rRNA from 1 species
AACAAAAUUAUUUGCCAGAGUACUACCAGCAACAGCUUAAAACUCAAAGGACUUGGCGGUGCUUUAUAUCCUUCUAGAGGAGCCUGUUCUGUAAUCGAUAAACCCCGAUAAACCUCACCAGUUCUUGCUAAUACAGUCUAUAUACCGCCAUCUUCAGCAAACCCUAAAAAGGAAGAAAAGUAAGCAUAAUCAUAAUACAUAAAAACGUUAGGUCAAGGUGUAACCUAUGAAAUGGGAAGAAAUGGGCUACAUUCUCUACACUAAGAGAACCAAACACGAAAGCUAUUAUGAAAUUAAUAACCAAAGGAGGAUUUAGCAGUAAACUA